GGCAUUUUUCCUACUUCAAAACGCUAGGAAUCCCCGGUCCCGAGCCAAGCCUGCUGUGGGGAAACCUUCGCGAGUAUCACGAAACGCACUAUUUCAAGGUUAUUGGCAAGUGGCUGGACAAUUAUGGCGACACUUUCGGAUUUUACAACGGAGAUGUACCAUUUGUUGUGACAAAAGACUUGGAUUUCUUGGAAUACAUCUUCAUUCGCAACUUCCAGAACUU